GCCUGGCUGGAUGAAUCGGUAGAGCAUGGGACUCUUGACCUCAGGGUCAUGAGUUCAAGCCCCAUGUUGGGCA
rnacentral:tRNA from 1 species